rnacentral:tRNA from 1 species
GAGGGUAUAGCUCAGUGGUAGAGGUGAUGCAUGCUAAGCACGAAGUCCUGGGUUCAAUCCCCAGUACCUCCA